CAGGAAGAGCAACCAGCUUCCCAGCCUGCCAGGGCCCUGCAGGAGGACGGCCUUCGGUUUCAUCCCACCCAGCGACUGGCACAGCCGAGCUGUCUAGAGACAGCUCGAAACAAGGAGGAAAGCAGAGGCUACGGAUACCAGCCCCCGGCAGCGCGCCCACAGUUCCCGGUCACCUGCUCCGCCACGGACUCCAAUACCCUUUGCCUCCGAGGGCCUCAACAGCUGCUGCAGAUGCCAGUGGACCCCUGAAGCUUUCAUUACUGAGGACCUCACUGUGGACCCAGCGGUCUGGUCUGCAGAGGACACCAGCAGUUUUCCUCACUGAGGAAAAUAGCGGCUAGAGCAGCCAUCAUAGACCCAGACCACUCCUGCCGCUGAGGACUCCACAGGUUUUCUGGCGUUUACAGAUGACAGUGACUGAGUCUCUACCCGCUUCUGUCCUCCUCCUCUCCGGCUGCCAGAGCCACCAUGGACAGUUUGGCGCUGGGAGCCCGCACUUGCAGCCAUCUUGCCUCUUCAGGAGGCACUUUAGCCUCCAACGACCGCUCAGGUUCCCGGAUGUGGCGGGAUUCCCGCCACCCGCCUCUUCCGCUGUGCGCAUGCUCACAGCUAGCCCGAGCGCUGGCGGCACAGCAGAGAGCCUGACGAGACGCUCGCGGACGCUGAGGAGGCUCGGACCCCGACGAGGCUCGGACCCCAGGCUCCAGACCCAGCGCUGUCGCCUGUGCCCACAGCUACACCUGUAGCUCUGCAUCUGCACACAGCAGACCCCUGUCACUGGCCUCCACUGCCGCGCACAAGCCCGCGACUAGCCGGCCAGCCCAAGGAGUGCACACUACAGCCAAGGCCUCUCAGCCGCUCCUGGGCCUGGUCCAGUCUGUCUUCCCUGUUAGUUCACGAACUGGAGCCUGGACAUGGAGCUUCAGGAGUGACUGAGGAAAGAGGCAGCCCACUCCGAAUUGUACUUCCAAAUGGCUGCUAUCUAUUCGUGAUCCAUUGGAAAACUGCCUUUUCCAUCACCGGGUUUAUACAGUGAGAGCAGAGCUUGAGGAAAUGAAAGGCAGCUGGUGCUUUGGUCAAGUCUCAGGAACUCUGUCUACAAAUUACAAGGGAGAGGAACUCCACCUUUGCCAGGACGAUGCUCUCCUUUAAUGGCUGUUGAUGGAGCAAGCUGCC